GGGGAUUUGAAGUGGGUUUUGAUAGUAAUUUGGUGAAUAUGUUUCUUCUGUUACAUGCUUUUGGUCCAUCCAGUGGCGAUCUCAACCGACGGCUUAGACAGCCGGAGAGGAUUUUCUCUCCCAGAUCAAACGAAGGUGCUACAGGUAUUCCCAACACCACUCCGUUCAGUAGUUUUGAUUUUCUUAACGAUGAAGAUAGUGAUGAUGGUGGAAGUGACGAUGACA
rnacentral:misc_RNA from 1 species